CCUACGGGAGGCAGCAGUGAGGAAUAUUGGUCAAUGGGCGUAAGCCUGAACCAGCCAAGUCGCGUGAGGGAUGAAGGUCCUAUGGAUCGUAAACCUCUUUUAUAAGGGAGUAAAGUGCGGGACGCGUCCCGUUCUGUAUGUACCUUAUGAAUAAGGAUCGGCUAACUCCGUGCCAGCAGCCGCGGUAAUACGGAGGAUCCGAGCGUUAUCCGGGUUUAUUGGGUUUAAAGGGUGCGGCGGCGGGCUGUUAAGUCAGCGGUGAAAGUCUGGGGCUCAACCCUAGAAGUGCCGUUGAAACUGGGAGGCUUGAGUGUGUGAGAGGCAGGCGGAAUGCGUGGUGUAGCGGUGAAAUGCUUAGAUAUCACGCAGAACCCCGAUUGCGAAGGCAGCAUGCCAGGGCAUGACUGACGCUGAUGCACGAAAGCGUGGGGAUCGAACAGGAUUAGAUACCCCUGUAGUC
rnacentral:rRNA from 1 species